rnacentral:rRNA from 1 species
GGGUAGACCACUAUCCAAGGCAAAAUACUAACCAGUGACCAAUAGUGUAGAGUACCGUGAGGGAAAGGUGAAAAGUCUCCCGUUGAGGGUUAUUAAAUAGAACCUGAAACCUUAAGCUUACAAGUAGUCAGAGGGUACCCUGCUAGCAAUAGUAGAUGGCCUGAUGGCGUGCCUUUUGUAGAAUGAGCCUGCGACUUAUAGUAUGUAGCAAGAUUAAGAGGUAAUAGCCUUGUAGUCGUAGUGAAAGCGAGCCUUAAUAGGGCGAAAUUAGUUGCAUGCUAUACGACCCGAAGCCAAGUGAUCUACCUAUGAGCAGCGCGAAACUCGAGUAACAUCGAAUGGAGGUGCGAACCAGUGGCCGUGAAAAGGCUUUGGAUGACUUGUGGGUAGGAGUGAAAGGCUAAUCAAACUUGGAGAUAGCUGGUUCUCUCCGAAAUGUCUUUAGGGGCAGCGUUAUGUGUUUACUUGCGGGGGUAGAGCACUAAAUGGACUAGGGCUCCUAACCGAGUACCAAACCCAACUAAACUCCGAAUACCGUAAGUUAAGAACAUGGCAGUUAGACAGCGGCGGAUAAGCGUCAUUGUCAAAAGGGAAACAGCCCAGAUCCUCAGCUAAGGUCCCAAAAUCUAUGUUAAGUGGGAAAGGAUGUGAGAAUACUUAAACAGCCAGGAGGUUGGCUUAGAAGCAGCCAUUCCUUUAAAGAGUGCGUAACAGCUCACUGGUCGAGUGUUCUUGCGCCGAAAAUGUAACGGGGCUCAAACAUAGUACCGAAGCUAGGGAAUCAUAGAGUUAAUCUAUGAUUGGUAGGAGAGCGUUCUUUAAGCCGUCGAAGGUUCAUCGUGAGGUGGGCUGGAGGUAUAAGAAGUGAGGAUGCAGGCAUGAGUAACGAGAAAACGGGUGAGAAACCCGUUCGCCGCAAACCCAAGGUUUCCUAGGUAAAGCUAAUCUGCCUAGGGUUAGUCGACCCCUAAGA